UAGAUAGAGGUUGCGUGUUUCAUCAGUAUAAAGUUGGAUAUGUUCAGGCAUAGAGGAAGAUUUUAGAAAGGGAAAGACGCCGAAAGGUGCGGUACCUGUAAUCGUAUUCUUGGGCAUAUGGCGAAUAGGCAUAUGACUGUCAUCAUAUUUUUAUGAUGGGGAGCUAUCC
rnacentral:ncRNA from 1 species